UACGGAGGGUGCAAGCGUUAUCCGGAUUUACUGGGUUUAAAGGGUGCGUAGGUGGGCAGUUAAGUCAGCGGUGAAAUCUCUGGGCUUAACCCAGAAACUGCCAUUGAUACUGAAGAUCUUGAGUUCGGGAGAGGUGAGUGGAACUGCGAGUGUAGAGGCGAAAUUCGUAGAUAUUCGCAAGAACACCAGUGGCGAAGGCGGCUCACUGGCCCGAUACUGACGCUGAGGCACGAAAGCGUGGGGAGCAAACAGG
rnacentral:rRNA from 1 species